GAGAGGAGAGAGAGAUGAAAUAUAUAUAAUAGACUCUCCUAUCAUUAGACGACACAUAAGGGUUCGACAAUUUCUUACCGAACAACCACACAACUGAUUCGUUUGUAGUGAUGAAAUAACGUUUGUGCAGACAUAACCUCCCUCCCUCCAUCAAAUCGGCAUUGCAUGUACAGGUGCACCUUUCCAUUUUAAGUUGUGCUUGUUCAUGCACCAUUCCUGAAUAUGUUUUUAAAUGUGUCACUGUUUUUGUCCCUUUAAUUGAGAUUAUGAGAUAUAAGAAACGAUAUAAUAGCUGUUAGCCGUAUACCUGGUGUCAAAAGGUUAUAUGUUCUUUUAAAUCCUUUGCAACAGAGUCUACUUUUGUCACAGACCAACGAAUGGAUGAAUUGCAUUAAUAAAGAAAAAAACGAAACCAUUAAAGGUUAUGCGCUUGUACUUGUUUAUAUAUGUGGAUGUGACUGUCUUUCUGGAAGUAUGUAUAUGGCUAACGAAUCAGAUAGCUAGACAGAAGGUUAAAGGGAAGAUUGAUUACAAAUUAAAAAAAAAAGAAUAUUAAUAAACAUGAUAUACAGCUUUUCAUAUAAAGUGCAUUAAUAAAGAAAAAAACAGCUUUUCACAUUAAUUGCAUUAAUAAAGAAAAAAACGAAACCAUUAAAGCACUUGUACUUGUUUAUAUAUGUGGAUGUGCCUGUCUUUCUGGAAGUAUGUAUAUGGCUAACGAAUCAGAUAGCUAGACAGAAGGUUAAUGGGAAGAUUGAUUACAAAUUAAAAAAAAAAAAAGAAUAUUAAUAAACAUGAUAUACAGCUUUUCAUAUAAAUACUUACCAACAAAGAGAAAAGACACUGCUAAGAUAUAUUUCAUCGUGUAUGUUAGAAAACAAUAUCUGUUGCUUUAAGAAUCGCAGGAAACUGAACCUAUUUUUAUAUUAAAAGAAAAAAAUUGGAACUAAUAGGCUGCAACAUGUGUUACCCAUGAGCAUAUUUCACACAUUAAACAGUUGCCGUGCAGCGAUAUCUCAUUGAAGGCUGUAUUCAAUAAAAUAGGCCACUAUUUUAUUUUCCUAAAUCUGCUACACAUACCAUUGCAGUUUUGUUUGAUUAUACUGCACAUCUUAUUCAUGAAAGGCAUCAGGUUCUCUUGUUACUGUCCUAUAAAUAGAAGAAAUUAAUGAAUAUAUUGACAUAGGCAUUGUCUCUAUUGUGUUCCAAAGAUGUAAAGAAUUUUAUUGGAAAUGUAAUGCAAAAUGCUUAAAAGUAA